rnacentral:rRNA from 1 species
GAUGAACGCUAGCGAUAGGCCUAACACAUGCAAGUCGAGGGGCAUCACAUGAAGUAGCAAUACGGAUGGUGGCGACCGGCGCACGGGUGAGUAACACGUAUGCAACCUGCCUUCAACAAGGGGAUAACCCGUUGAAAGACGGACUAAUACCCUAUAACACAGGGGUCCCGCAUGGGAAUAUUUGUUAAAGGACAACCGGUUGAAGAUGGGCAUGCGUUCCAUUAGCUAGUUGGCGGGGUAACGGCCCACCAAGGCAACGAUGGAUAGGGGAACUGAGAGGUUUAUCCCCCACACUGGUACUGAGACACGGACCAGACUCCUACGGGAGGCAGCAGUGAGGAAUAUUGGUCAAUGGACGCAAGUCUGAACCAGCCACGUCGCGUGAAGGAAGACGGCCCUACGGGUUGUAAACUUCUUUUAACGGGAAUAAAGUGCCCCACGCGUGGGGUUUUGCAUGUACCGUAUGAAU